UUUCAUUAUCCUAUUUGGAGUUUUCCAUCCAACUAAGGAAGUUUAGUAAUGGCGAUGAGAUAGUAUCACCAAGGGUAAAACUAACUAUUAAACGAACCUCAACCAUAAGCAAGCCAAAUUAAAACUACAGUAAAACAUAAAAUAUGACAAAACAGGGAAAUAAGACUGACAAUUACUUGUUGUAAACUAGAAAUAAGAACUGCAAACUACAAAAAUUAAAGCAAUCCCAUUAAGCGCUUUACGCUUGCAAGAACAGCAAGAGGAAACUGUCUGUGGAACGAAAUCAGUUGCGUGAAAUCCUCUGCUACGUUACUAGGUGACUUCUCGGAUGAAAUUGACCACUAUGAUCAGUGUUGUUGAGCCUGCCGACUUGGGGCACCACCACCAUAAGGUCCAUUUUGCUGAGCACCAUAAUUACCAGAACCUUGUGAAUUUCCACUAGCAUCGCCAUAGCCACUGCCCAUGUAACCUCCACCUGAUUGCAUAUCUCCCGAUGCACCACCUCCAUAAGACCCAUCAUUUCCGCCAUAUCCACCAUAGCCAUAACCUUGAUUUCCAUAUCCUGUGGCUCCAGUUGGAGACUGGCCAGCAGCAGAUCCACCGUUAGCAGGCCCACCUCCACCACCAGCACUUGAAGCACCCCAGGAUACAUUACCAUAGCCCAUAUUACCAUAUCCAGAAGAAACCUGAGAGCCCCACGAGCUUCUUGGUCCACCAGCUUGACCACUACCAUAACCGGUACCAGGCACAUUUGGAUUUCCAAAGGCAGCACCUGCAGCACCACCAUAUCCAGGAUUGACACCCCCAUAGCCAGGAUUGGCUCCACCGUAACUUCCAUAAGCACCAUAACCCAUGCCAUUGUUGGACGAUCCAUAACCAUAACCUGCGGUACCAUAUCCAGAGGAACCAUAAGAUGGAUAACCACCUCCAGUGUUUUGUGAUUGCAUGUAUCUGUUGGUAUCCAUUCUGUCAUAAGAACUGGGAUUGUCACCAUACCCCUGGUAACUUCCACCACCCAUACCACUA
rnacentral:misc_RNA from 1 species